UACAGAGGUCUCAAGCGUUGUUCGGAUUCAUUGGGCGUAAAGGGUGCGUAGGUGGCCAACUAAGUCAGACGUGAAAUCCCUCGGCUUAACCGGGGAACUGCGUCUGAUACUGGAUGGCUUGAGUUCGGGAGAGGGAUGCGGAAUUCCAGGUGUAGCGGUGAAAUGCGUAGAUAUCUGGAGGAACACCGGUGGCGAAGGCGGCAUCCUGGACCGGCAUUGACGCUGAGGCGCGAAAGCCAGGGGAGCAAACGGG
rnacentral:rRNA from 1 species